rnacentral:rRNA from 1 species
GACGAACGCUGGCGGCGUGCUUAACACAUGCAAGUCGAACGGUAAGGCCCUUCGGGGUACACGAGUGGCGAACGGGUGAGUAACACGUGGGUGAUCUGCCCUGCACUUCGGGAUAAGCCUGGGAAACUGGGUCUAACACCGGAUAGGACCACUGCCUGCAUGGGUGGUGGUGGAAAGCUUUUGCGGUGUGGGAUGGGCCCACGGCCUAUCAGCUUGUUGGUGGGGGGAUGGCCUACCAAGGCGACGACGGGUAGCCGGCCUGAGAGGGUGACCGGCCACACUGGGACUGAGAUACGGCCCAGACUCCUACGGGAGGCAGCAGUGGGGAAUAUUGCACAAUGGGCGCAAGCCUGAUGCAGCGACGCCGCGUGAGGGAUGACGGCCUUCGGGUUGUAAACCUCUUUCAGCACCGACGAAGCGCAAGUGACGGUAGGUGCAGAAGAAGGACCGGCCAACUACGUGCCAGCAGCCGCCGUAA